rnacentral:rRNA from 1 species
ACGGAGGGUGCAAGCGUUAAUCGGAAUUACUGGGCGUAAAGCGCACGCAGGCGGUCUGUCAAGUCGGAUGUGAAAUCCCCGGGCUCAACCUGGGAACUGCACUCGAGACUGGCGGGCUAGAGUCUGGCAGAGGGGGGUGGAAUUCCACGUGUAGCGGUGAAAUGCGUAGAGAUGUGGAGGAACACCGAUGGCGAAGGCAGCCCCCUGGACAAAUACUGACGCUCAUGCACGAAAGCGUGGGGAGCAAACAG